AACCAUAGAAACCUGCGGAGUACCUGCGGAAGGAUCAUUAACACUAUGAAAAGUCAGAGUGGGCGCCCCAAAAGGCGCCUGCCCUGGCUGAUGGACUAAACCUCCAUUACCCCUGCGAACUUUGUUAAAGUCUUUAUGCAGUGAACUCAAUCACUCUGACUGUUUUGUUUCUCUGAAACGUUAAAUAAUGCGUCUGAAGGGAGUAGCAGUAGGGGUGACGAGCCCUGAAAGCGCUUCUUC
rnacentral:misc_RNA from 1 species